rnacentral:rRNA from 1 species
GUCGGUUAAGUCCCGCAACGAGCGCAACCCCUAUUGUUAGUUGCCAUCAUUCAGUUGGGCACUCUAGCGAGACUGCCGGUAAUAAACCGGAGGAAGGUGGGGAUGACGUCAAAUCAUCAUGCCCCUUAUGACCUGGGCUACACACGUGCUACAAUGGUUGGUACAACGAGUUGCGAGUCGGUGACGGCGAGCUAAUCUCUUAAAGCCAAUCUCAGUUCGGAUUGUAGGCUGCAACUCGCCUACAUGAAGUCGGAAUCGCUAGUAAUCGCGGAUCAGCACGCCGCGGUGAAUACGUUCCCGGGCCUU